rnacentral:rRNA from 1 species
AUUGAACGCUGGCGGCAGGCCUAACACAUGCAAGUCGAGCGGAUGAAGGGAGCUUGCUCCUGGAUUCAGCGGCGGACGGGUGAGUAAUGCCUAGGAAUCUGCUUGGUAGUGGGGGAUAACGUCUGGAAACGGGCGCUAAUACCGCAUACUUCCUGAGGGAGAAAGUGGGGGAUCUUCGGACCUCACGCUAUCAGAUGAGCCUAGGUCGGAGUAGCUAGUUGGUGGGGUAAGGGCCUACCAAGGCGACGAUCCGUAACUGGUCUGUGAGGAUGAUUAGUCACACUGGAACUGAGACACGGUCAAGACUCCUACGGGAGGCAGCAGUGGGGAAUAUUGGACAGUGGGCGAAAGCCUGAUCCAGCCAUGCCGAGUGUGUGACGAAGGUCUUCGGAUUGUAAAGAACUUUAAGUUGGGAGAAAGGGCAGUAAGUUAAUACCUUGCUGUUUUGACGUUACCAACAGAAUAAGCACCGGCUAACUACGUG